CUGGGAUCCAUGCUCGGCAAUAGGAAAUGAGGCCUAGGAAGGCGUGUAGUGACUUCGAGGUCCUUGGAGGUGGAAUGUCCAGUACCGCUCUAACUCGGUCACGGGUAAGAUGUCUGGUUCCCUGAGACAGACAAUGGCCAAGGAAGAUAACAGUAGGUUGGCAGAAUUGCAGCUUGAGACGUGAAGCUUUACAUCCUUGUUCUGCU